AAGCACAUUUUCUUUUCAGCCCAUGUGCAUUUCCUUCUCCUGUUGAACCAGCCCACACCCUCCUCUUCUCCUUUUCUGCAGCACAGAACCAGAGAGCAGGCCACAUGCUUUUCUCCUUCCUCCAGCCGCAAUAACAUCAGCCGAGCUGCACCUGUACUACCUCAGCCCAUGGCCUCAAACCAAAUCAAAUCCGGAUUGAAUUCCUCUCUAUCUCCAAACCAAACCACCAUAGAUCCUCUCCUCUAUCUCCAAGAGUCCACGUGAGCCCAGCUGCAAUCUCUCUCCUCUAUCUCCAAGAGUCCAUACAGGAUCAAAUCUCCACCCAAAUCCAAUCGGAUAGAGCUGCAACCAAAUCUUUCAAAUCCCAACCGAUUUACCUUAGCUACCACCUAUAUAAAGAGGAGGUCUUGAUCUGUUGAAAAAAAAAAGAAAAAUUAGAGGAGGGGGGAGGCUUGGACACCUUGGUGAGGCCCUAUCGCAUCCAAUUGCUGCCGCACGAAAUCGCCGCCGCCGCCGCGCAAGUCCGCCGCGUACCGUGAACACAGAGCGCAAGCCGUCGUCGCCAUGAACACCAGCUGCAUCUCCACCGCUAUUGACUCGCAAGCUGUGGUUGCUAUCCAGAUUGCUUGCAGUGGCUAUGCGCAGGGAUAAGUUAUUUAAAGGGCUUCAUUUGUGGUAGCCCUGUUGAUUUGUUCAAUAAGCCUGAUGGUGACUUGGUGGUAUUGCUAAAGAGCUAUCUGUUGCUAAAGGUGUUGCUGGGUUA